ACCCAGACUCCUAGGGAGGCAGCAGUGGGGAAUAUUGGGCAAUGGGCGCAAGCCUGACCCAGCAACGCCGCGUGAAGGAAGAAGGCUUUCGGGUUGUAAACUUCUUUUGUCAGGGACGAAGCAAGUGACGGUACCUGACGAAUAAGCCACGGCUAACUACGUGCCAGCAGCCGCGGUAAUACGUAGGUGGCAAGCGUUAUCCGGAUUUACUGGGUGUAAAGGGCGUGUAGGCGGGACUGCAAGUCAGAUGUGAAAACCAUGGGCUCAACCUAUGGCCUGCAUUUGAAACUGUAGUUCUUGAGUACUGGAGAGGCAGACGGAAUUCCUAGUGUAGCGGUGAAAUGCGUAGAUAUUAGGAGGAACACCAGUGGCGAAGGCGGCCUGCUGGACGACAACUGACGGUGAGGCGCGAAAGCGUGGGGAGCAAACAGGAUUAGAUACCCGGGUACA
rnacentral:rRNA from 1 species